rnacentral:tRNA from 1 species
AAAAAAUUAGUUAAAAUAAUAACAUUAACAUGUCAAAUUAAAAUUAUUAAUUAAAUUAAUAUUUUUUU